GGGACGGGUGAGUAACACGUGGAUAACCUACCUAUAAGACUGGGAUAACUUCGGGAAACCGGAGCUAAUACCGGAUAAUAUUUUGAACCGCAUGGUUCAAAAGUGAAAGACGGUCUUGCUGUCACUUAUAGAUGGAUCCGCGCUGCAUUAGCUAGUUGGUAAGGUAACGGCUUACCAAGGCAACGAUGCAUAGCCGGCCUGAGAGGGUGAUCGGCCACACUGGAACUGAGACACGGUCCAG
rnacentral:rRNA from 1 species